GCCCACGAUUCGAAAGCCGCACACCAAACACGUUAGUUCGCUUCAAGUUUUCGUAAUGCUCCAAGCGAUCUGGUCGUAGAAAAUUAUCCGUACAGCACAAAUUGGUAUCAGUUAUUCAAAACGCGAUGAGCUACACAAACCUACUGCGCCAGCAGAAUGUGGUGGACGACUGCCAGCGAGUGAGCUGCAAUCGCAAUCCCACGGCCACGCUCUCCGGCCGCUGUGUGCUCAGCCGGGACAUCGUGAUCGGCUGCCGGAUGGAGCAGUGCGACCCGGACAUGCCCUACAUGCUGGAGCCCACGUGGGGCGUCUAUCUGCGCGCCGGUCGCGAUUGCGGCGACCUGUCGCGCUUCGUGCGGCGUGUCACGUUCAAGAUGUCGCCGCGCCUGCCGCUGCGACUGCACGUGGCGGACAGCGCUCCGUUCGAGAUCGGCGAGGUCCUGGGCACCGACUUUCCCGUGGAGGUGCAGGUGCAGUACACGGACGCCCGCAUGUCCGCCACCUCGUACAUCUUCCGGCCGCGGGUGGUGCGCGAGGGUCACGCCGGCAUCUGCGAGGAGGUCCUGGACAAGAUGAUCUUCGUCAAUCCCACGCCCUCCAUGCGACAGAGUCUGAUGCCCGUCCUCGCACCGCCAAGUGCGACUGCCAGUGGUCCGUCCAGCGCCAGGGAUUCCAGCCAGUCGGCGAUGGAGCUGCCCGUGCCGGAGCGACCGGGUGAGCGCAAGGAACAGGAUCGCGAGCAGGUGGGCGAUGUGGCGCGAUCGCCGCAGCCACCGGCCAAGCAGCUCAAGAAUCGCCUAAGUGUGGGCGUGCCCCACCCGCCCAUCGGGCAUCAGAAGCCCAAAUGGGCGGAAGGAACUAACGGAACUGAGAAGUGAGAACUGAGAAUGUUGGCUGUCAUGGCAUGCGAAGAUGUGUGCAGUUAUUUGAUUGGAAUUCGCUAAGUUUUGGCCAUACUAGGCCAAUUAUGAAUUUCAAAUUAAAGUAUAAUUCCUGGCUGACAUCUAAUCAAAGUCAACUCAAUGCUCUGUACAUACAUAUGUACAUAUGUACAAGGCAAGGUCGAGUACGCCCAUUUUGUGUGUAUGCCUCGUCCGGGGGUGGAUGAUGCUGCCCGAUGCUGCUGGAU